GACGAACGCUGGCGGCGUGCCUAAUACAUGCAAGUUGAGCGCUGAAGGUUGGUACUUGUACCAACUGGAUGAGCAGCGAACGGGUGAGUAACGCGUGGGGAAUCUGCCUUUGAGCGGGGGACAACAUUUGGAAACGAAUGCUAAUACCGCAUAAAAACUUUAAACACAAGUUUUAAGUUUGAAAGAUGAAAUUGCAUCACUCAAAGAUGAUCCCGCGUUGUAUUAGCUAGUUGGUGAGGUAAAGGCUCACCAAGGCGAUGAUACAUAGCCGACCUGAGAGGGUGAUCGGCCACAUUGGGACUGAGACACGGCCCAAACUCCUACGGGAGGCAGCAGUAGGGAAUCUUCGGCAAUGGACGAAAGUCUGACCGAGCAACGCCGCGUGAGUGAAGAAGGUUUUCGGAUCGUAAAACUCUGUUGGUAGAGAAGAACGUUGGUGAGAGUGGAAAGCUCAUCAAGUGACGGUAACUACCCAGAAAGGGACGGCUAACUACGUG
rnacentral:rRNA from 1 species